rnacentral:rRNA from 1 species
UACGUAGGGGGCUAGCGUUGUCCGGAUUUAUUGGGCGUAAAGAGCGCGUAGGCGGCCGAGUAAGUCCGACGUGAAAUCUGGAGGCUCAACCUCCAGCGGUCGUUGGAAACUACUCGGCUAGAGUCCGGAAGAGGAGAGUGGAAUUCCUGGUGUAGCGGUGAAAUGCGCAGAUAUCAGGAAGAACACCGAUGGCGAAAGCAGCUCUCUGGGACGGUACUGACGCUGAGGCGCGAAAGCGUGGGGAGCAAACAGG